UGUAACCAUCUAAUCUUCUCCCUACUUUAAUAAUGACAAUAUAAAAGCAUGUAUACAUAAAUUGUCUCUCUUCAUCAGGAGCCGCGCUCCUAAUUUCCCGUAUGCAGGAAAACACUAUGACAUUCAAUUCAAUAAUGGCAAGCAAUAAUCAAGGAACCUCAAAGAAACACUGGUGGGUACCGAUCAUUGCGAUCAAUUUUUGGGGAUUAGAUUCUGGCCUGUCUUCAUCUUCAGACAGGAACCGCAAGAAUCCGUGACCCCCGGAUUUGAACUAUGGUCGGGGCCUACGCCAAAGAACUAUACUGUGUUACAUUCUAACCUUGGUUGCUAACUACUGUUAAAUAAACUCAUAUGUCAAGUCUUAACCUAUCUUCGAGUCUUUCUGGUAGAAAUGUUAGCUUUAGCGUAGCGUAGCGUAAGUUCUACCAGGAAACUCGAAUGUUACGUCAUUCAUGUCACAAGGCGCAAUCAAUCACCCCUGAUACUGAGAGUAUAUAAGCCUCGUACUCACCUGUCUUUGCGUUCGCAGAUACUGAUGCCAGCAUUAACAACCCACCCUCCCUACCACCAUCACCAGGUCGGUUCCGUCCAUACUCAAGGGGGAUUAGAUUCUGGCCUGUCUUCAUCUUCAGACAGGAACCGCAAGAAUCCGUGACCCCCGGAUUUGAACUAUGGUCGGGGCCUACGCCAAAGAACUAUACUGUGUUACAUUCUAACCUUGGUUGCUAACUACUGUUAAAUAAACUCAUAUGUCAAGUCUUAA